rnacentral:rRNA from 1 species
AUACGUAGGUGACAAGCGUUAUCCGGAUUUACUGGGCGUAAAGGGCGUGUAGGCGGUCUUGCAAGUCAGAAGUGAAAUUCCUGAGCUCAACUCGGGCGCUGCUUCUGAAACUGCAGGACUUGAGUGCUGGAGGGGAUAGCGGAAUUCCUAGUGGAGCGGUAAAAUGCGCAGAUAUUAGGAAGAACACCGGUGGCGAAGGCGGGCUUCUGGGCCACGACUGACGCUGAGGCGCGAAAGCUAGGGGAGCGAACAGGAUUAGAUACCCUGGUAGUCCACGCCAUAAACGAUGAAUACUAGGUGUAGGGGGUAUCGACCCCCUCUGUGCCGACGUUAACACAUUAAGUAUUCCACCUGGGGAGUACGGCCGCAAGGCUGAAACUCAAAUGAAUUGACGGGG